CAGCAGUGGGGAAUAUUGCACAAUGGGGGAAACCCUGAUGCAGCGACGCCGCGUGGAGGAAGAAGGUCUUCGGAUUGUAAACUCCUGUUGUUGAGGAAGAUAAUGACGGUACUCAACAAGGAAGUGACGGCUAACUACGUGCCAGCAGCCGCGGUAAAACGUAGGUCACAAGCGUUGUCCGGAAUUACUGGGUGUAAAGGGAGCGCAGGCGGGAAGACAAGUUGGAAGUGAAAUCCAUGGGCUCAACCCAUGAACUGCUUUCAAAACUGUUUUUCUUGAGUAGUGCAGAGGUAGGCGGAAUUCCCGGUGUAGCGGUGGAAUGCGUAGAUAUCGGGAGGAACACCAGUGGCGAAGGCGGCCUACUGGGCACCAACUGACGCUGAGGCUCGAAAGUGUGGGUAGCAAACAGGAUUAGAUACCCUGGUAGUCCACACCGUAAACGAUGAUUACUAGGUGUUGGAGGAUUGACCCCUUCAGUGCCGCAGUUAACACAAUAAGUAAUCCACCUGGGGAGUACGACCGCAAGGUUGAAACUCAAAGGAAUUGACGGGGGCCCGCACAAGCAGUGGAGUAUGUGGUUUAAUUCGACGCAACGCGAAGAACCUUACCAAGUCUUGACAUCCUGCGACGGACAUAGAAAUAUGUCUUUCCUUCGGGACGCAGAGACAGGUGGUGCAUGGUUGUCGUCAGCUCGUGUCGUGAGAUGUUGGGUUAAGUCC
rnacentral:rRNA from 1 species